AUGUCAGUCAGUCAGAUGACCAGGGAAUAUGAUAGGAUGAAUGUACCAGCGGGUGCUACUAUUCAUACUACCCAACAUAAUGUUGCAUCUACGCUCCAGGAAGUCUCAAGAAUUGAAGAUAAUCAGCCUAUUGUUUUGGAAACUUCUGUUCUGCCCGACCACAGCUCCUCCAGUUUGGAUGUUUUCCAGAUAGACCCUUCUAAGUUACCUGAUGAUAUGCCAAAACCAAGCACUGUACCCUCAGAUAUCACAUUGCAAAUUGGUCAAACCUCACCAAAGGAAUCCUCAGCACUGCAAGAUUCUGAUAAAAAAAUACUAGACAAAUGUGUGGAAAUGAUUCUAUGUAUGACACCGAAUCCAGCACCUGCAAAUGAUAACAACGAAUCACUAAGUCUUGCUAUCAAUGAAGUGCUCAGUGAAAACUUAGAACAAACUCUUGCAUUAGCAGAAAUACAGACUCAGUGCACUGCAGGAGACAUAGAAUCAUCAUCUUGUCAGUCUACACAAGAAGAUGUUGCAAAAAAACAAGAUGAAUUCCAAGAACAUCCUUCCGACAAUUCAGUUGCAGAAGUAAGUUCUGAGCGCACCGAAGAUGAUGAUAUAUCUAAAGUGGGCAAGCAAGAUUCAGACUCUCAUACUUCUUAUUUAACUCCUAGACACAGCUUCAGGGAUAUAGAGAUAGUUCACAUACCCGAUGAACCUUCAUCUCCUAAAACAAUUGAUUGUGACCACAUCUCUAAGCUUGCUGAGCCAUUACCAGAUGGAGAAUGUUUUGAUUAUGCUGGUAGCAUAAAUCCUUCUAUGAAGAUGAGAAAACAACGUUAUCAGAAGAAAGAGGAGAUCGUCGAAGGUAUAUCUGAGCUCAUAAAGAAGAAGCAAUAUCCGGUGAAGAAGUUGAAUGACCUGUACAAUACUCUUGUCGCUGGUAGCAAGUUCCGAGGUUUAUGUAAGACACGACGACGCAACGAUAAUGACACAGGUGGUACCAAGAUAAGGAUAGGUCCAGCUUCUAUAACAGAAAGAGAGUUAGUACAAUGCCUAAUGCCAAAAGGAAAGAUGUGCAAAAAUAUGAUGUGGUUACUGUCCGUGGCACUUAUGUAUGAUUGGGGAUCAAAGACCAAGAUUAUAUUGGACCAGACUAUUAUAACCGAAUUGCUAAAAAAAGGAAAUAAAUGCAACCCUGCAUAUCUCUGCAAGAAGCUUAGUAAGUUGCCACUUCAAAAUGUUGAGCAGCUAUUUCUGCCUACACUAUCGGACAACCAUUGGAUUCUGGCUGUCAUUAACCUCACACAAAACACAAUUGAAAUUUAUGACUCUAACUUAGAAGUCAAAGAAGGUGAACACCCGCACAGGGCUAUGUUGGAGAACAUGGCCAGCAAUCUCCAAAAAUCAUUGAAUGAUUGUCUCCACAAGAGUGCUUUCACAUUUAUUGAUUUCCCAAUGAAGUAUUGUUCUGCUGGAAAACAAACAAACAAUGAUGACUAUGGUUUCUGGGUUCUUAAAGUCCUUCUGUGUCACAAUGGCAAAGAGCUCAUUGGAAAUUACAAGUGGGCAAUGGAUGUCUUCAGGAAGGAAAUAUGCUAUAUCCUUGUUUACCACCGCUUCAAUGAUCUCAAUCCAAGGAGGCCUGAGAUUAAGAAGAUAGCAUCCGCCAUGAAGACAACAACACAAUGA
rnacentral:rRNA from 1 species